rnacentral:rRNA from 1 species
UACGAAGGGAGCUAGCGUUGUUCGGAAUCACUGGGCGUAAAGCGCACGUAGGCGGAUUUGUCAGUCAGGGGUGAAAUCCCGGGGCUCAACCUCGGAACUGCCUUUGAUACAGCAAGUCUUGAGUUCGAGAGAGGUGGGUGGAAUUCCUAGUGUAGAGGUGAAAUUCGUAGAUAUUAGGAAGAACACCGGUGGCGAAGGCGGCCCCCUGGUUGGAUACUGACGCUGAGACGCGAAAGCGUGGGGAGCAAACAGG